UCCUUUCUAAACUUUUGCAUAAAAAAGGUAUUUUAAUUCAACAUCGAGGUCAUAAACUCACUUGUCAAUUUGAUCUUUCUAAGUGAAUUAAGCUGUUAUCCCUAAAGUAACUUACUUCUUCUUUAGAAUUUCAAGGUAUUAAAACAUGUUCGUCUUUCCCUUUAAGAAAAGAAUAUUUUCCCACCGCCCCAGUUAAAUACUUUCUCUUUCUUUUAAACAGUAAAAAGUAUAAAGUUUUAUAGGGUCUUCUUGUCUAAAAGGUUUAUUUUAGCCUUCUUACUAAAAAGUAAAAUUUAUUUUUUUAUAUAAAAAAAAAUUCUCCCGGUUUACUCUUUCAUACCAGUCCCAAAUUAAAAGA
rnacentral:rRNA from 1 species